rnacentral:pre_miRNA from 1 species
CCGGUGAUCGGUUUCGUGGUACUCUUGUGGUAAGGAGUUUCGCACUAGCGGCGGCACCAAGCAUCUCUAUCAUUUGAGUACCAUGAAGUCGGCACUGG